UUCCGGUUGAUCCCGCCGGAGGUUACUGCUAUCGAGAUUCGACUAAGCCAUGCGAGUUGAAUGUUCUUCGUGAACAUGGCGGACUGCUCAGUAACACGUGGACAACCUACCCUUCGGUCCGGCAUAAUCCUGGGAAACUGGGGAUAAUUCCGGAUAGGCCACAGAUGCUGGAAUGCACUGUGGCCCAAAGCUCCGGCGCCGAAGGAUGGGUCUGCGGCCUAUCAGGGUUGUAGUGGGUGUAACGUACCUACUAGCCUACGACGGGUACGGGUUGUGAGAGCAAGAGCCCGGAGAUGGAUUCUGAGACACGAAUCCAGGCCCUACGGGGUGCAGCAGGCGCGAAAACUUUACAAUGCGGGAAACCGUGAUAAGGGAAUCUCGAGUGCCAGCAUAUAAUGUUGGCUGUCCAGAUGCCUAAAAAGCAUCUGUUAGCAAGGGCCG
rnacentral:rRNA from 1 species